AAUCAACGCUGGCGGCGUGCCUCAGACAUGCAAGUCGAACGCGAAAGUCCCCUUCGGGGGACAAGUAGAGUGGCGCACGGGUGAGUAACACGUAGGUAAUCUACCUUUGGAUGGGGAAUAACAACCGGAAACGGUUGCUAAUACCGCAUAAUGCAGCGGCACCUAAUGGUGACAGUUGUUAAAGCGGGGGAUCGAAAGACCUCGCGUCUGAAGAGGAGCCUGCGGCGGAUUAGCUAGNGGUAAGGUAAUGGCUUACCAAGGCUACGAUCCGUAACCGGCCUGAGAGGGCGGUCGGUCACACUGACACUGACAUACGGGUCAGACUCCUACGGGAGGCAGCAGUGGGGAAUAUUGGACAAUGGGCGCAAGCCUGAUCCAGCGAUGCCGCGUGUGUGAAGAAGGCCUGCGGGUUGUAAAGCACUUUCAGUAAGGGAAG
rnacentral:rRNA from 1 species